rnacentral:rRNA from 1 species
AGUUCCUACGGGAGGCAGCAGUGGGGAAUAUUGCACAAUGGGGGAAACCCUGACCCAGCAACGCCGCGUGAAGGAAGAAGGCUUUCGGGUUGUAAACUUCUUUUCUCAGGGACGAAGCAAGUGACGGUACCUGAGGAAUAAGCCACGGCUAACUACGUGCCAGCGGCCGCGGUAAUACGUAGGUGGCAAGCGUUAUCCGGAUUUACUGGGUGUAAAGGGCGUGUAGGCGGGAAAGCAAGUCAGAUGUGAAAACCAUGGGCUCAACCUGUGGCCUGCCUUUGAAACUGUUUUUCUUGAGUACUGGG